CAUUUGCCUUGAGUGUUUGUUUUUGCGGUCUGCUGUGUCGUCUGUGACCCUUAAAAUGGAUAUUAAAGUGUUAGAGUCGGAUUUUGAGAAGGACUUAGGGGAAUUAAAAAAUAACAUUGAAAAACUAUUGAAAGAUGCCAAACACAUUCAGUAACUGAAGAACAGCAGCUACACACAAUCAAGCCAACGGCUAAAUAGGCAACUGAAGAACCUCAGACUAUGUGCUAGGAAAUUGAAGAAAAAUACUCCAGAGGUAGGUUUUUGUAAUUUAAACUUUUAUUGUAUCAUACUCUAGUGAUGGCCAUGGUGCACAGUUCCUUCUGUGUAAUCAUGAAAGUCGAGCCACCCACCAACCCUCAGCUGCUAACGGCAAUCAAACCCCAGGGGAAUCAGGCUGGGAUAACACUGAAGGUUGCAAUUCAUCCAACCUCGCGCAUGUUCAAGUGUGAAGUUCGCAAAAAGUCCUUCAUGAAUCUGUUAGUUUAAGGAGCCAUCGGAUUAGCCACUUCAGGAAGCCGAGGGGAAAGUCUAACAAAGAAAAUGGAUGUUUGUGCCAGCCGCCAACUGCUCAUUUACCUACAUGCACCCACAAUACCCAUACCUCGAUAAACAUACAUUUUCCUUGAGUGUUUGUUUUUGCCGUCUGCUGUGUCCUCCGUUACCCUUAAAAUAGAUAUUAAAGUGUUAGAGUCAGAUUUUGAGAAGAACUUAGAGGAAAUUGAAAAUCAGAUUGAAAGACUCAUGAAAGAUGCAAUAAAAAUUCAUCAAAAAAAGAAAAGCAGUAAACAACAAUCAAGCAAACAACUAAAUAGGCAACUGAAGUAGGUGCACGACGAAAUCAACAUCAUGAAAGAUCGGCUCUCUCGAGCCACCAUUAUUAGUGGCGAAUAUCAAUCAUUUUUACACCGUGCAUACCAAAAAUUUCUGAGUUGGCAUCGGGAGCUCGUCAAAAUUAGGAUAUCCCUCGUAGCCACACUAGAACUCUGUGAAGCCUUGGUCGCGAAGCCGAGUGACACGGAGCAUUUCUGUGUUGAUUUGCUUUUUGCCCGAACGUAACCUAAGUUGCACUAAGCAUUGUUUUCUCAUUGACGUAUUCAUGUUUUAAAAUGUAACUUUCUUUCGCUUAUAACUUUCUACUUUAACUAACUUUCUUCAUCCAUUAUUGUAUUUAGAAAAGCAUUUUAAGUACAGCUUCUUUAAUCGAUAAAAUGCAAACACCCCGGUUUACAAUCCUACAAAAAAUAUAUUUUGGUUUCUAUAUAAUAUGUAUUAACGUGCGUAUUGAAGAAAUCACCAGUAAUGAAAUUACUUUUUGCUAUGGACAUUUGUUUGUCCUAUAACUGGACUUCAGUUGACAUUUUGAGGCCGUUGUCAGCCAUUUCUUUUUUAUGUUCUCCAGACGUCUGGUAAAAUCUCAAUGGAUGACAGUGGCCUAUUGUUUUUUUGUCCAGAGAGCAAAAAAAAACGUAUUUACUCACAAUUUGUUAUUGUUGAAGGCCAUGUAGAGUUGGUGAAAUAAUCAAUGUGAAUUGGAAUUGGUUUGCAUAGAUUCUGCAAAAUAUUUGAAAACAUUUGGAGAGGAGAAAAGUAACCUGGAAUAGUCUGACAAUCUCUUUUUUAUGUAAUCGUCGUAGCCAGAAGGUGAAUUUACAGAACUCCUAGUGAAAAACGACAUUCUUUUUGUAUUUUAUUUUUUCUCGUGUCUUUGACCUACCGUCGUUUCGAUCCAUCCGUAACAACCAUGCGAUCUUUGAAUUUAAUUUGGAUGUGUCUGAGCAAAAUACGAUGUGUAUUUUCUCUUCCAACCAGUCAUUAUUAACU